AACGAACGCUGGCGGCAUGCCUAACACAUGCAAGUCGAACGAGACCUUCGGGUCUAGUUGCGCACGGGUGCGUAACGCGUGGGAACCUGCCCUUAGGUUCGGAAUAACUCCCCGAAAGGGGUGCUAAUACCGGAUAAUGUCUUCGGACCAAAGAUUUAUCGACUUUGGAUGGGCCCGAGUUGGAUUAGCUAGUUGGUAGGGUAAAAGCCUACCAAGGCUACGAUCCAUAGCUGGUCUGAGAGGAUGAUCAGCCACACUGGGACUGAGACACGGCCCAGACUACUACGGGAGGCAGGAGUGGGGAAUAUUGGAAAAUGGGCGAAAGCAUGAUCCAGCAAUGCCGCGUGAGUGAUGAAGGCCUUAGGGUUGUAAAGCUCUUUUACCCGGGAUGAUAAUGACAGUACCGGGAGAAUAAGCACCGGCUAACUCCGUG
rnacentral:rRNA from 1 species